GUGAGGAAUUUUCCGCAAUGGGCGAAAGCCUGACGGAGCAAUGCCGCGUGAAGGAUGAAGGCCUAUGGGUUGUAAACUUCUUUUCUCAGAAAAGAAUUAUGACGGUAUCUGAGGAAUAAGCAUCGGCUAACUCUGUGCCAGCAGCCGCGGUAAGACAGAGGAUGCAAGCGUUAUCCGGAAUGAUUGGGCGUAAAGCGUCUGUAGGUUGUUUAAAAAGUAUUCUGUCAAAGAUUAGGGCUUAACCCUAGAUAGGCAGAAUAAACUUUUAAGCUAGAGUUUGGUAGAGGCAGAGGGAAUUCCCGGUGGAGCGGUGAAAUGCGUAGAUAUCGGGAGGAACACCAAAGGCGAAGGCACUCUGCUGGGCCAAUACUAACACUGAGAGACGAAAGCGAGGGGAGCAAAUGGGAUUAGAAACCCGUGUGUCC
rnacentral:rRNA from 1 species